AGUGAACGCUGGCGGUAGGCCUAACACAUGCAAGUCGAACGGCAGCACAGUAAGAGCUUGCUCUUACGGGUGGCGAGUGGCGGACGGGUGAGGAAUACAUCGGAAUCUACUUUUUCGUGGGGGAUAACGUAGGGAAACUUACGCUAAUACAGCAUACGACCUACAGGUGAAAGCAGGGGAUCUUCGGACCUUGCGCGAUUGAAUGAGCCGAUCUCGGAUUAGAUAAUUGGCGGGGUAAAGGCCCACCAAGGCGAGGAACCGUAGCUGGUCUGAGAGGAUGGUCGGCCAAACUGGAACUGAGAACCGGCCCAGACUCCAACGGGAGGCAGCGGUGGGGAAUAUUGGACAAGGGGCGCAAGCCUAAUCCAGCCAGACCGCGUGGGUGAAGAAGGCUUUCGGUUUGUAAAGCCCUUUUGUUGGGAAAGAAAAGCGUCAGGUUAAUACCCCGCUGUUCUGACGGUACCCAAAGAAUAAGCACCGGCUAACUUCGU
rnacentral:rRNA from 1 species